AUUGAACGCUGGCGGCAUGCCUUACACAUGCAAGUCGAACGGCAGCACGGGAGCAAUCCUGGUGGCGAGUGGCGAACGGGUGAGUAAUAUAUCGGAACGUGCCCAGUCGUGGGGGAUAACGUAGCGAAAGCUACGCUAAUACCGCAUACGAUCUAUGGAUGAAAGCGGGGGAUCGCAAGACCUCGCGCGAUUGGAGCGGCCGAUAUCAGAUUAGGUAGUUGGUGAGGUAAAGGCUCACCAAGCCGACGAUCUGUAGCUGGUCUGAGAGGACGACCAGCCACACUGGAACUGGGACACGGCCCAGACUCCUACGGGAGGCAGCAGUGGGGAAUUUUGGACAAUGGGCGCAAGCCUGAUCCAGCAAUGCCGCGUGCAGGAUGAAGGCCUUCGGGUUGUAAACUGCUUUUGUACGGAACGAAACGGCGAGCUCUAAUACAGUUUGCUAAUGACGGUACCGUAAGAAUAAGCACCGGCUAACUACAUGCCAGCAGCCGCGGUAA
rnacentral:rRNA from 1 species